GGGCCCAUAGUUUCAAUGGUAAAACAACGGUCUCCAAAACCGUCGUUCUCCGUUCGAGUCGGAGUGGGCCUGCCA
rnacentral:tRNA from 1 species